UCCGCUGCGGCUCCCCAGCGUCUAAGGAAACCGCCGUCCCCUCCGUGAUCCCCUUCCCUUUCCUAUCUUCACCGUGACCACUAAGCAGAGACCCCGAUCCUCUUCCCCUUUCCACCGUGAGCAGAGACCCCCAUCCCCUCCGUGAUCCGCAUCGACUCGGAGAAGCUGCGGCAGCGGCACAUCCCCUCCGUGAUCCGCAUCGACUCGGAGAAGCGGCACAUCUCCUCCGUGUUCCGCAUCACCGCCUCGCCUGGCUCCUUCCUCUUCGCCUGGCUGGGCACUGGGACUCGGAGAAGCUGCGGCAGCGCCUCCUCGCCUGGUUAGUCCCGGGAGGCCGCAGUGAAGCCGGAACCCGCUCGAUCUCCGUUGGCCGCGCCCCGCGCCGCGAGCUCGGUGCCCGAAGCCGGUGGCCGCGCGCCCGCCUGCUGGUGCUCGCGGCGCGCCCCGCCCACCGCGAGCUGCGGGAGGCCGCAGCGAAGCCGGUGGCCGCGCCCCGCCCGCCCGCUGCCCAAGCGGCCGCGCAGUUGGCCGCGCCCCGCCCGCCGGUGCCCGCGUCUCCCGCCGCGAGACCUCGCGGACGCCCCUAGCCGUGAGUCGCACAUGGACAGGCCUCUGGUUCCCAGUAGGCAUGAUGAUGCAAUUUCAGCUGCACAGAUAUACAUUGAGCAAAAUGGAUCGAAAGCAUUUGAGAAUAUUGUAAACAAGGCAUUUUGGUUGGUGAUGAGCUUGUAAUAGAUGGUCGAAUGGCAAAAUUUGAAAUUACUGAGAAAACAAGAAAUGAUUUGCUCUGUAAGUGCGUGGACCCAGGUUUACUUCUUCCUCGAGCCAAGUUGUCAUUCGGAAAUUUAGUUCAAAGGAACUUUGUCCUUCCUAACGAAAAACUUUAUAUUUCUGCAUCUCAUGUAUUAAUUUUUUAUAGUUCCCUUCUGCAGCAACAUUUUCCGUGGCAUAUUAAGAAUUCAGCAGCUGUUUCAUGGACAUUCUUUUUUUUGACUUAUGGUCCAUAGUUAAAAAACUAAUCCUUUUGACACGAUCAAAUUUCUAGCUAACUUUAUGUGAGAAAUAUCAUCUAAUCCCUUCCCAACUUGCUUGACAUGAAAAGGUUUUGUUGUUCGUGAUAUACUGAUAUGUAUAUAAUCUCCCAAUCUCUCUUAUCAUUCAUUGGCCACAACUAUGUAUUUGCUUCUUGCUGAGUGCCUGUAUUAUAUUUGAGGGUUAGGAAGGCAUCGGAUUUGGGAUAGCUGAAGGAGUUGAUUGCAUUACUCUAUCAUUUGUAAAUGAUGCCAAUUAUAUAAAGCAGUUGAAGGCUUACCUCUCUAGAAGAUCAUUAGGGUCAGGCCACUACCUGGACCUUAUUGUUAGUUUUGAUUUGUGCCGACAUAGAGAACCUAUUUGUCCUUGUCUUCGUAUAGAAAAAAAAUGCUAAUUGUGAUUUAUGUCAUCACAUUUCAGUUUAUUUUUCAUGUAUUGCUAUAGAAAUAACUUUGUAGUUUAUUAAUUGUGAUUUAUGUUAACACAUACAACUCAAGCUUGUCCUUGUAUUUUCAAAGUUUAGUUUGUCAAUUGUAUUUGUGCCAACACUGAUUAGUUUUUUGUGUUUUGGUUUGUUUUUGUGUAAAUAUAGAUCAGGCAUUAACUCUACUCGCUGCAGGCUUUAUAUGCACGAGCCAGAUUCUCUGGUCAGGGAGAUCGUGAGGAAGAAUAACACCUUCCUUAUCAAACAAUUUGGCAACGACAAUGCGGCAUUGAUAGGUUGCUUUUUAGGCCUUACAAACAAGAAGAUUAUGACAUUGCAGCCAGCCAGUGGUAGGGGGAUUAUAGUGGUCCUCUAUAUACAACCAAAACAAAGAAGCAAAACAAGGCUCUCAGCCUCUAUGACAAGUCUUUCAUGCACAAGGACUUCCACAAGAUGGCCAAGGUGGUGAAGAACUAGGUUCUGCAGCAGAGAGAGGGGAGGCUAUUGGGCGUUGUUGUGGGGGUGCUGCGGAGUCGCUGGUGAUGUGCAGCACCGGCGCCAUGGGUGUCGAUGACGGCGAUCACGAGAAGGAGGACAGCGACAAGGAGCGGAUCAAGAUUGGACGGCCCAACGGACAUGCCACACGUUUCACACAUCACCUAUGACAAUUUCGGCGGCUUCCUCAGCCUCCCCGCCGGCCUUGAACUAGACAUACUGUGGCGCACGCCCAGUGCCAGGAAUGAGAUUGUUCAAUGUUCACGUCGAGCUUUGAGGAUGGUGCGGUGCCGACAAGCUUUGGCAAGGGCAGUCCAGCGUCGUGCGACCACGUGCACAAAUGGUGAACGUGGAUCCUUGAGGUAUCAACUGAUAUCAAUAGCAAGAAUAAAGCUUCAAUUUGUUUUCAGUUGAGCUGUAGGUUCUGAGCAUCAAUGUAACCCCUUUUUCCUAACAUUGUUAGGGUGGUGAGCAGAUUCUACUAGAAUAAUAUUUUUGAAUGUUGGGACUAUAAAUCAUGUACUGCAUAUUAGCAUAUUUUUUAGUGCUAUUUGCGUACAAAAGUAUAUAAGUAAAAUACUUUCUCAUUCUGUAUCUAUCUAUUUUGGUUGUGGAGGUGCUCUUCCUAUCCAUGUACUAAGUCUUUAGCUUCUAUAGUUACACAUUUCAAAAGGUGUAGAACACUUCAAUAUAGUACAAUUCAGUGAUUUCAGUCAACACGAAA